rnacentral:rRNA from 100 species
AGAAUGACUCUCGGCAACGGAUAUCUAGGCUCUUGCAUCGAUGAAGAACGUAGCGAAAUGCGAUACUUGGUGUGAAUUGCAGAAUCCCGUGAACCAUCGAGUCUUUGAACGCAAGUUGCGCCCGAUGCCAUUAGGUUGAGGGCACGUCUGCCUGGGUGUCACAU